GCCGUUGUGUCUCCGCCCCGUUUCCCCUCCCAGGAAGCUGCAAGAUUAUCACAUUAGCACCCCCCAGAUGAAAGGUAUCUGCUGUGCUCUUUUUACUCCAAGCAGAGAGAGAAAGAGAUCCUGUGUUGAAUUCAUUUCAUGGAUAUGGCUGCACUGUAUGCAUAGAGUGCCAGAUGUAGAAGUUUCUUACAUGCUCAGAAGAGACAGGAAAGACUGUCUUUGCCUGUUAAAGAUAAUAAGUCUUCAACUUCUGUCAUCAGAAUGAACUCAAGGUUGCGUAAAGAGAAAUCCUCAGUGAACCAGUAACAAAGAUUGACACAAAAAGUGAAUAUACAAAGGCUGAAAAAGUGGUGCUGUGAAAAAGUGCCUUACUUCAUAAAUUGCUUCUGCAUGCAAGAUGCAUUACAUUUGGUGUAAAACAUGUAUACACAUUCUUUACAAUUUGUACACAUUUAAAUGGCUGUAUCAUAACACUUUAUGGAAUUAUGGAAGACUAAAUUAAGAAAGAAACAAAUGUGUAGAAAAAUAAUUAAAUACCUGGCAAUAGAAAGCAUUUGA